rnacentral:rRNA from 1 species
UUCGCAAUGCCCGAAAGGGUGACGAAGCGACGCCGCGUGUGGGAAGAAGGCCUUCGGGUUGUAAACCACUGUCGGGAGUUAGGAAGUGCAGGAGCGUUAAUAGCGUUCUUGCUUGACUAAGGCUCCAGAGGAAGCCACGGCUAACUCUGUGCCAGCAGCCGCGGUAAUACAGAGGCGGCAAGCGUUGUUCGGAAUUAUUGGGCGUAAAGAGCACGUAGGCGGCCUUGCAAGUCAGUUGUGAAAGCCCUUCGCUCAACGGAAGAAUGGCAGCUGAUACUACAGGGCUAGAGUGCGGGAGGGGAGAGUGGAACUUCUGGUGGAGCGGUGAAAUGCGUAGAUAUCAGAAGGAACGUCGGCGGCGAAAGCGACUCUCUGGCCUAUUACUGACACUGAGUGUGCGAAAGUUAGGGGAGCAAACGGGAUUAGAUACCCCGGUAGUCCUAACUGUAAACGAUGGGCACUAAGUAGAGGGGUUUU